rnacentral:lncRNA from 1 species
ACGCCUCCCCUUUCUCCUUCCUCAUCUUAUCUUUGCUCAUCUCCUUCCUCUCUCUGUCGGUGUCGACAUGUCCGGAGCCCUGGUGGUAGUUACGGUGUCGGAACCCUAGAUCUGCUCCGGGGGGAACUAGAUCCGGCUUCUUGUGACUUGCUACUGGUGUUUCUACGAGGCACUGCAGGUUUGGAGGGAGAUGGGUCGGUUUUUAGAGUUUGAUUUCGAUGGAUCUGUUUUCCCCUUUCCGAUCUACUCGGAGUCAUGGCGGUGAUGGCGCGUGAGUGUAGGGUGGACUCACUCCUCUGUUCUUCAUGGUUUUAUGUCCCGACGGUGGUCGGAGUGGAGUGGAGCGCUAGGUUUCUGUGGUAUCGAAGCUUGGCGUCUUGUUUCGAUCCAUGGUUUUGCUGCCGUUCAAAGGAGGCGUCAGGACUGUAUGACGGCGCGUGCUCAAUACACUGGUGGUCGUGUGGCAACAGUUUGCUGAGAUAUCAUCCUGUGUAGCUCAAGAGUCGCUGGUUUGCUCUGUCGUCUAUGGCAGAUUCAGCCGCUUCUCGGCAGUUACUCUUCACAUAAAACAUAAUCUGAAUCUAUAUCCACAAUCGUUCGCCUUGUCGGAGCUCUGUUGCUGUCACUUAUCGUAAGUGGUGGUGCGGCUUUGGAGUCAAGACGCGUCCGUAUGGUGGCGCUCGGAGGUGACGGGGCUGUUGAUGCGCAUUCUGGUGGUUUUAUUUCCGGGCGAUGGAGGCUUCUUUAGCUCCGUUGACGUCGGUUCUCUUGUGGGGGGUGGAGGCUUUCAUAGAUCCACCGUCGCCACUCUUGCUUCCGGGAAGGUGAGGUUUCUUUAACUCUCUUCGCCGGCUUUUGGAUUACGGUGAGAGGAGGCUCACAUAGCUCCUUGAUACCGGUGUGAGACCCUUUGUUUUGGGUGUGGCGAUUAGAUCGAGGUUUGUAGAGGCGGUUGGUUCUUGUAAUCUGUGAGGGAUUCGUGGGUCGCCGAGGAUGAGAUAUUAGUUUAAGCUCUCCGGCGACGGCGAUGAAGUUUUUAGAAGAAGUUUGUGCGGUUCUCGGCUCAACUGUCCAGCGUUUCUGGUGGUCCAAAGUCGGAGGCGAUCUCGGUUAUCUGAUGAACCCUCCGGCGUGAAGACAGUUCGGCGAUGAACGUUUGUGUACGUGCGGAGGCUCUGCAGGUUCGGAGCCCCGGCGGUAGUGGCGUCUCCUUGCGGCGCGCCUAGGGCGAUCAACCCGGUUUCUAGUUGUUUGGACCGUGUGGCCGUCUUGUAUUUCUUGGGCUUUGGCCCAUUGUGUGUUUAUGCUUUGUGGCCCGUAGUAUCGUGGGUUUUUGUUUAAAUCUCGUGCUGUUUGGGCUUCGGCCCUGGGCUUGGCCCAUCUAUCAAUAAAAACAAUUUGGGAAAAAAAAA